GGGAGUGUCAGAAACCGUGAUUGGCAUGAUAAAGAUUGGCAUGGUGUAUUUUAGGAAAGUUUAUAUUUGAUGUGCUGUAAUUUUUUAACAGUUUUGUGCUGCCUUUAUUAGGUUCGUUUAUAAUUGAUUGAUCCCGUAAUCAUAGGGAUUAAUUCCUUAGAAUUAGCAGUCCAUAUUUCCUAAAAUAUGCUGCAGACUUAUGUAUUUAUAUAGGGGUUAAUAACCUCUUGAAAUAAUAAGAAAAGAUUUCUAUUCUUUCUAAAUCUGAGACUUUUGAUACAAAAGCAGUCUUGUUGGAGGUAGGAGAUGUUGUCAACAUUGUUAAGAGAGCUUGGAACAUUAAGAAUCAGCAGCAAAAGUGUGAGGAGCUUUGGCUGCUGCUGUAAGGUGUCUUGAAAGCGCAGAACCAGAAGUCAGUACUAGAGGGAAAGCUAUUGUUGCUGAAAGGGAGAGCUGAGAAAGAGCAAUUCAAUACAAUGCAUAUGAUAGGCUUAAAGAGAAGCAGGGAUGGAUUGUAUAUGAGAGGAGGAAUAAGAGAGUUAGUUAGAUGGGUUAGUUGGGGGAGCGUACACUUAACUGUCAUACACUUAACUGUCAUACAAUUAAGUGGUUUGGGGGAAAUAAUUGUAUAAAUAGAAGUUGUUUGGUUUAGUAAGGGACUUUUGGACACUUACUUGAUUGACUGGUUUCAUCCAGUGGUAGAGGGUUAAGCCUCUGAUAUCCUUGUUGCAUACUUCAUUCUUUGGGAAUAAUACAAAUAGAUUCUUUUCAUUUCUCUGUGUUCUACUGUUGAGAGAGUAAGGAGAGUGCUUGUUGGGGUUUUCACAUUGAAAACCUAUCAAUUGGUCCGACCUGCCGGAUCCAAUUGUCGAUCGAUCGUGAUGGAGGGGAGAGGAGUGAUGAGCUGUCGCAACUCACACAAAUUUGAUGUGCAAAUAAAUGCAGUAUAGCUAGGGAAUGACCCCUAGGUCGUCUCCCAAAGACCAAUUUUGCGGUUCAAGAAUCGAGUCUAACACGAAAAAAAGGGGGGGGGUUGAAAAGGUUUUUGCAAAAAUUAAAGAACUCAAUAUAAAGACAUAGAUGCAAACAAACUAAUUUAAGCUAGCAUGGUAAUUAAACUAACACUAUUAAAAACCUUAGGCAACAUUCAAACAAAAUAAAAUAAAAUACUAGACCCCAACAAGACAACAAACAACUACCCAACACAGUUAAAUUAAUUUAAAUGCAAAAAUAAAUUAGAGAAAUCAAGAGCAACCAAUCCUAUUAUGCAAAUUAAUGCAAAACAAAGGAAUAAUUAAACAUGCUU
rnacentral:lncRNA from 1 species